UCCGCGCUCCCUCCCUCCUUCCCCCUCUCUCUCCUUCUCUCCCUCCCUUCCUCCCUUUCUCCCGCGCCGUGCGGGGCGCGGCGCGGGCCCCUCUGCCCGCGGCUUUGUGCGUGUCCCGUCCUUGUGAAGAGAAGCAAGCAGCUGCAGCGCUGGGCCGAGUUGUUGAAAUUUAUCCCUUUGUGUAUAUUACAAUAUCCUCCAUUUUUCUGCCCUCUAAACAACGAGCCUUUCGCCAUCUUGGGCAAAUUUUUAUUCCAAAGUCUGUCCGUCUCUUUUAGGAAGGAACGAGUAGAAAUCUUGAAAGCCCUUUGGGUAAGUCUCAAAGUUUAGGAAAUGUUACAGGGACAGACAGUGACGUCAUGUAAAGUUUAAGGGGAUUUUUUUCCAAGACUCUGUGCUUUCCCCCGGCAUUCCUGAUCUAACGCGUUGUAAAUCUCACUUUAAAGAGAGAGGUUCCGAGUUGAGACUGCACGUACAGGGGAUAUUGUGAAUAUGCGUCUUUAUCUUGUGUCUGGUUUCGUAACAGGGAAAUAAUUGUGCUUUUGGGUUAUUCUCCCCCCCCUUGCCUAUUUCUUUUCUUUUCCUGUCCCGGCCUCAGUGUUUAAUAUGUAAUGCUCGUUCGGUUGUUUAAGUAAACGUUCUAAAGUUCUUAUGUUAAAUAACGAACUAUCUGGAGAUUUUCAUUGUUUUUGUUUACGGAAAGUAGUAAUCUAAUGUGAAGCUUAAAUGAAACACUUGGUACAGGAUCUUCCCUGAGAGAUAAACAGUAUCUCCUUGAUAUGAGGAACAUGGAAAUACAUAAGUCCAUUUUUAAAUGACAGAUUUUGGGAGGCAUGUGUGGAAGUAACAAACUUAUUAACCUAUGUUAUUAAAAGGUUCCGCCUGGAAAGUAGCUAUAAAUAUUGCAUGUAGUUUGGGUUAUGUUCCAGGUGCCGUGUAACGUGGGUGGCUAAAUGUAGUUACUGUGCUAAACUCAUUAGAAAACCCAACCCUACAACAACCCUGCACCCAAAAACCAACAACAAAUUGUAUCCUCUAUACAUUUUGCAUCAGCUGUUGUGAAAAGGAAAACAAUAAAAGGUACUACUGUGUUAAUUUACUUCUCAAUUGCACAUUUUUUUUAUCUCAGAAAAGUUUUUCUGGUCACAUGAUAUGACUUAGUGAAACAUGGGAUACUUGAUAAGGAAAAGCUGUUGUAGGUGAAGUUCUGUUUUUCUAUUCUUUCUAUGCUUAUCUGACUUGCUGCAUAUUUAAAGUCACACAAUCGAGAACACGAAACUGUAUUUAAUUUGCAUUUUCUUUGUCUUCAGGGUUGGGAAAAACAUUGACUACAAUUAACAUAGAAAGUAAUAGCAACAGCUGUUUGUACAUCAAGGCUUUUAUAUCCAAGUCAGUAUUGAAUGAUGUACUUAAAGCAUACUUAAGGUUAUGUUGGAACAAAUGUCAAAUAUUACUUACUUUAUUUUUCUUUCUUAAAUGCAUCAGAAAGCGUGGUUGGAUUCAUGUAUUUACUGGCUAUGUGAAUACCAGGUAAAUGAAAAAGUUUAAAUAGUUGAAAGCAUGUACAACGGGUGAUUCUAAAUUACAAAUGGAACAAAGGUCUAGAAGAUUGGACAGAUUAUAAGUGAUGAGCAACAGCAUAAGUAGUUUCAGAAAACGAUAGUAUAGUUUUGACAUCUCAUAGAAAACUACACACGUUUUUGUCAAAUUGCUGCAAAAUCAAUAAACUACAUAAUAUUAAGAAAAUUGUAGCCAAGGUAGUUUUUGUAGAGGAAGCAGUAGGAAUUGUUAGGGGAUUUUCAGUGUUCAAGAAAUUUUAUGUUUGCUUCAAUCAGGGGAUAUUUGUUUCAUCAUAGAUGGUACCAAUUCCUUGUAAGUAAUGGAGUAUUCAUAUCAUGUUGUGAUGGAGUUCAUCGUAAACAGAAGUCUCUGGAGAAUAAAAAAUAUUUCUUCAGAGGAUCAGGGGAGGGGGAGGCGGGGAAGGAGCAAGUGAGCGGCGCAGUUUCAGUCAGAGCACUAAAUUGGAGAGUACCAUUCCUAAACUAUGACACACGGGUAUUUCUCAUCCGGAUUAUUUUUUUAAACUAAAUUCCACUGUGCUGGGUUCCUUACAGGACAAUGUUCCCAGAAAAAGUAGUUGUUUUUAGGAUUUGUCCAUGUAGAUUAUUGUAGGUUGUCAAUACCACUGUAAAAUGUUUUGAGUAGCAUUAGAGGAAAGGUAACUAAAUAUGUGCUUUGUACCUUUUGAUGAGAAAUGCUUGGUUUUCUUGAACAUGUAAUACAAUGCUUUGCAUUUUCAAAAGAUAAGUUAGCAAUGUUUUUAUGUAAUAGAGGGAACAAGCAUUGGUUGACCACCUGCAGUAUAUGUGUUUAAUCCUUAUACUGCUAAGAAGAAAGUGCUAGGAGACUGAAUUUUUUUUUCUUAAUGAAGAACACUGAAAAUGCCAAUAAGAAAGUAAUGGAAGUCUUCCUUUUUAGGUCCUGUUGACCUUUCUUGUGUUUUCUUUGUCUGCAUGUUUAUUACAGAACUGCAGUGUAAAGGAGCAGAUGUUUUGCAAAACAUCCUGAUGUGUUGCUUUUUCUUAUGGGAGUGCAUAACUGUUCCUUCUGAUGCAUCGACUUGACAGCUGGUUGAUUUCAUGGAACUGCUAAGAAGCCAUUAGUGGUGUCAUUGAAUUGAAACAGAACAGUGGCUCCCAGCUUGAACUGCAAUUGUUAACGUCUUUGUUGCUACUUUUCUCUUCCUAUGCAAAAUGUGGAAUAUCAUAGUUGCAGAUAAAAAGAAGUUUGUGCUCCCUGUCUGAUAUCCCUGAAUGAAGGAAAGGAGGCAUUAGUACCUGACUGCUUUUAGUUUUUUAAUUUUCUUAUGAUGGCGUAUUUGGGAAUAAGAGAUCUUGACUGUUGGGAGGUACAAUGCACAAUGCAGUUUGCUACCCCCCCUCACACACACACACAUUAAGGGCUUCACUGUGUGAAUGCUGUGUGUUCAAAUUGCUUCACUGUGAUCAUCUCCCAGGCCCUAAUACAGGUAUCUUUAAAUAAAACUAAAUAGUGAUGGGGUGCUUUUUUUUUAAUCAGCAAACUAUUCUAAUAGAUUACAUAAGAGUGAUACUUAGUGUUUUCAUCCUUUAAAUAAUUUGGCCCAAUGCAGAUUCCCAAAGUCUACCAGUUUUCUCCCAAGUGUGGUUCAGCAUCUUAGUUAAUUUUGUUUUACUGCAGUACAUUCAGUAAAUUAUGUCAUACCUCAUUACCAACUAGUUUGUGAUUGUUUAUUGCCACCAGAAGAAACACUGAAACAGGUAUCAAGGACAGCAGUGAUUUUUGUGAUUGAUAGUUUACAACAUCCUGAACAUGGACAAAAUGUAGUAUGUGUUGGUCAGUGUAUUUUAAAGAAACUGGAAGUUUAUGUUGAAGAACAUGAUGCAGUAUGGAGAAUUUGGGUACGGAUGAUCUUCCCUGCUGCAUCACAGAAGGAAAUGAAACAUCCUUUUUGUAACUAACAUCUGUGCUUUAAAAAUUUUUUGUUAUACUACAUUUUUACUUUAAACCUAUUUUUGUUGUAUUCUUUCUGCGUAAUGGUAGAAAGAAAGUGCAUCUUUUUUUUAAGUGAGUGAUAGGCAUUUGGAGUUCCUCUGGGUUACUCUUUACAGAUGAGAAACAGAAACAAGGAUACUGUAUUAGUAAGCUUAAAGUAGAUCCUCCUCCACCCUGCUCCCCAUUUUUUGCCUGCUUAUUUAAAAAAAAAAAAGGCAACAAACAAAUCAAUAUGGAGUCCCCAGAAGAUUAGUGUAAGGAAAAUAGUGAGUUCACAUUAAUUUUUGAAAUUUGCGUUUCUUAUUACUUUUAUGGAGGCAAGACUGUGUAAGAUUCACUGUUAUAGAGAUAAGGACUGAUUUGUGGAAGGGUUUAGUCUUUUACCAACAUCACAAGAUGAUGAUAGAGGCAGAAAAAAGAGCUGCCUUCACCCAGUUUAAUCUCUAGUGUGCUGGGUAGUUGUUUCCUUGAAAAGGGAAAUGUGUGGUUUGUUUUUCUGCAGAGUAAUGCCAGUGGGGUGGGUAAGCUGAGUGCACAUAGUCAUUAGAAGAAAUUGGGACCAUGUGUUCAUUAAGUUCACUCUGCAGAAGGGCCAGGCUAGAUGCAGUAUUUUGCUGUUAUUUUGUUUCUAAAUCGUACAGUUUUAAGUGAAAAAAGGUAUGUAGAACAUAUAAUCCAGUUAUCACACAAUUUCACAGUUAGCUGAGUUAAGUUCUUGUUUAGUGUUUUAGCUCUUUACUGUCCUAAAUUUGCAUUAUAUAAUGUCCUUAAAAAGAAAAAAAUAACUAUACUUUUUUAAGUCUGAUACUGCAAUUCCUUUAAGAUUUAAAUGGAAAUUAAAAUGCCAGAAGACCAUUGUAGUAA